ACGGGGCGCAGCAGGCGCGAAACCUCUGCAAUAGGCGAAAGCCUGACAGGGUUACUCUGAGUGACUUUCGCUAAGAAAGUCUUUUGGCACCUCUAAAAAGGGUGCAGAAUAAGGGGUGGGCAAGUCUGGUGUCAGCCGCCGCGGUAAUACCAGCACCCCGAGUGGUCGGGACGAUUAUUGGGCCUAAAGCAUUCGUAGCCGGUUCUGCAAGUCCCCCGUUAAAUCCAGCUGCUCAACAGAUGGGCCGCGGAGGAUACUACAGAGCUAGGAGGCAGGAGAGGCAAGCGGUACUCAGUGGGUAGGGGUAAAAUCCGUUAAUCCAUUGAAGACCACCAGUGGCGAAGGCGGCUUGCCAGAAUGCGCUCGACGGUGAGGGAUGAAAGCUGGGGGAGCAAACCGGAUUAGAUACCCGGGUAGUCCCAGCCGUAAACGAUGCAGACUCGGUGAUGGGUUGGCUUCGCGCUAACCCAGUGCCGCAGGGAAGCCGUUAAGUCUGCCGCCUGGGUAGUACGGUCGCAAGACUGAAACUCAAAGGAAUUGACGGA
rnacentral:rRNA from 1 species